CUUACGAUAAUAGACUGUGGUUUAGGGAAUUUGGUGUGAAUCCAAGACUGACGCGCAACGGUAAAAGUCCGAUACCUGCCACGCAUCCAAUCGCUUC
rnacentral:ncRNA from 2 species